rnacentral:lncRNA from 1 species
UAGGAAUCCAAACCCAGAGAAAUAAAGGAUUAAGCCCACAAAGUUUCUGCCUCACAUUGGAGCUCCCCAGGCCUGAGCUGGGAGCCCAGCCUUGUGCUACAAGGAAAUCCAUGGAGAAAGCUACGUACAGACCUGGGCAGAGCAUGCCAGGAGAAGGCUCCUAAACCUAACGCUGCCCAGGAAGGAGCUGUCUGCUUUUGCCAGGAGCUGUCAGUUGUGAGCUCUCUACAGGAGUUCAGCAUCCUUGCCAGGCCAGAGUUAUACGUGGGUGACUCAGGCUAUAUCCAGCAGAAAUGGAAGUGCAAACAGAAGGAGCAGAGCAAGUUUUGCUAA